UCAAGUGAGAUAUAAAGGCAGCACACAUGCAAGCAUGGUUGCCAUCUCUAGAUUCUGAUUUCUCAGCAGCAUCAGCUCGCAUGCUAGUAUACAUAGCUAUGGGAAAAGCAAAGGGUUUCCUCUGAAAGAGGUAGUACAUGGCGCACUUGGAUUAACACUUUCCAUCUUCCACUCAUAUACACACCCAGCCCUCAUGAUGUCCCUCCAGCUCCAGUUUGAACCACACUGAUGAGAAUUGAUGUGAUGGAGGUGGAGAGGAGCUUUCUCUGCUCCUGCAUGCAUUGCAGCUGCUCUGCGAAUAAAUCAAGAACUUCAGUCUUCACAGCAGUCAAACCCACACCUGUCACCAGCAUAAGAACUCACUCAAAGAGGGAAUUAAUACAUUGAAGAAGAGUGGCUGAUCCCACAUGGCGAACAGUUGGAAAACAUUGUAUCUGGAAACAUCUCUGCAUAUCCUGUCUAUUGAUUUGGGCAGCCAAAUUUUGACUGGAGAUUCCUAAUUAUGAUUUUAAGAUCUAUCACAGUGGACAGGUUCAUUAGUAGGAUGUUCCAAAUCCCUGCACCAGUGAGGAUCCCUAAACUCCAGAGGGAAGGAGGAUUCACCACAGUAGAGGACAGGAUGUUUCACCAUCGCCAGCUCUCCCUCAAGGAAUUUGAUGGUGUCAUGGAAAGAAAAACAGCACAAAGCCUUAGAAUCACAGUCAGCCCCAGGGGCACUCCCCUGCAUCAGCGAUGGCUGCUCCAACCCAGGGACUGUAGACAUCAUUACUACCCGCUGUUGGGACAGGCAGCUUUAAGCUGGGCUAUCUGUAAGAGCACCACUGAUGGAUACAGCAGUGGUGAUGCACUGAAUCUCCUCCAUCUUUCUGCUGCCAUAUUCACCAUUUUAUCCUCAGCCAGUAGCACCAAUUUUUUUCGGAUCAGUCUAUCCAUCCUCUAAGCCCUCUGGUGCAAAGGAGAUCAUAGGCAUUGUAUGUCCCCACUGUUACAACUCAGCAUACUUUGUAUCUUAUCAUCAUCAUGGAAUACACUGACUUUUGCCUACAUAGAACCUUGGGUGAAUCUAGCCCUUGCUUAUAUCCAAGGGAAUCAUUGAUCCUGCUUGAAUGAAAAUAAUCCCUGGUUUGUC